ACUAAUCUUUCAUAAACCCAAUAACUUUUUCUUUAAUAGAUUUUGGAAAAGAAAAAUUCUGACAUAAUAUUUGCGAGGUAAUCAUUUAGAAAUACAAGACCAGAAGAUUACCGUCAACAUGUACAGUAAUCGAGAAGUGGAGGAAGACUACCUCGGCAUUGCAAGUGCUCCCAUUUUAUUAGUACGACGUCAAGCUCAGAGGUCUCCAAGAUAUUAUCUGCUCUGUGAAAAGGAAAACUGCAGCCAACUCUUCCUACACUGCCCAGUGGCAUACCAAAUCUGGAAAGGAAGCUAGAUGCUUCGAAGUGAAAGUUGAUGCUGUACAGAAGAUCAAAUAUAAAUGCUUAUGGUUUUUGGCUUUUUGGUGUAAUGUACAGGAUGUAAAAGAUGAAAAUAGCUUAGUAGAUUUGAUAGUCACUACACGGACAAGGAAUAUAUAGAGCCUUUCUUUUUUGUUUUUGUAUAGAAGGAUCCCUAACUUUGUAAUGUCCUAGCACCAUCUUAGUGCUGGUCUAUUCUUCUAUUCAUACUAGUCUCUAUAUGCGUUU